rnacentral:rRNA from 1 species
UACGUAGGGUGCGAGCGUUAAUCGGCAUUACUGGGCGUAAAGCGUGCGCAGGCGGUUAUGCAAGACAGAUGUGAAAUCCCCGGGCUCAACCUGGGAACUGCAUUUGUGACUGCAUGGCUAGAGUGCGGCAGAGGGGGAUGGAAUUCCGCGUGUAGCAGUGAAAUGCGUAGAUAUGCGGAGGAACACCGAUGGCGAAGGCAAUCCCCUGGGCCUGCACUGACGCUCAUGCACGAAAGCGUGGGGAGCAAACAGG